rnacentral:rRNA from 1 species
AUUGAACGCUGGCGGCAUGCCUUACACAUGCAAGUCGAACGGUAACAGGUUAAGCUGACGAGUGGCGAACGGGUGAGUAAUGUAUCGGAACGUGCCCAGUCGUGGGGGAUAACUACUCGAAAGAGUGGCUAAUACCGCAUACGACCUGAGGGUGAAAGCUGGGGACCGUAAGGCCACGCGCGAUUGGAGCGGCCGAUAUCAGAUUAGCUAGUUGGUGGGGUAAAAGCCCACCAAGGCGACGAUCUGUAGCUGGUCUGAGAGGACGACCAGCCACACUGGGACUGAGACACGGCCCAGACUCCUACGGGAGGCAGCAGUGGGGAAUUUUGGACAAUGGACGCAAGUCUGAUCCAGCCAUGCCGCGUGCGGGAAGAAGGCCUUCGGGUUGUAAACCGCUUUUGUCAGGGAAGAAACGAGUUUCUCUAAUACAGAGACUUAAUGACGGUACCUGAAGAAUAAGCACCGGCUAACUACGUGCCAGCCGCCGCCGCAGUAA